CCUACGGGAGGCAGCAGUGGGGAAUAUUGCACAAUGGGCGAAACCCUGAUGCAGCGACGCCGCGUGAGUGAAGAAGUAUUUCGGUACGUUAAGCUCUAUCAGCAGGGAAGAAAAUGACGGUACCUGACUAAGAAGCCCCGGCUAACUACGUGACAGCAGCCGCGGUAAUACGUAGGGGGCAAGCGUUAUCCGGAUUUACUGGGUGGAAAGGGAGCGUAGACGGCAGCGCAAGUCUGGAGUGAAAUCCCAUGGCUUAACCAGGGAACUGCUUUGGAAACUGGGCAGCUGGAGUGCAGGAGAGGUAAGCGGAAUUCCUAGUGUAGCGGUGAAAUGCGUAGAUAUUAGGAGGAACACCAGUGGCGAAGGCGGCUUACUGGACUGUAACUGACGUUGAGGCUCGAAAGCGUGGGGAGCAAACAGGAUUAGAUACCCCAGUAGUC
rnacentral:rRNA from 1 species